rnacentral:rRNA from 1 species
GAUGAACGCUGGCGGCGUGCUUAACACAUGCAAGUCGAACGGAAAGGCUCCUUCUUGCUGGCGUACUCGAGUGGCAAACGGGUGAGUAACACGUGGGUGAUCUGCCCCGCACUUCGGGCUAAGCCUAGUAAACUGUGUCUAAUGCCGGAUAGGACAGUGUCCUCGAUGGCAUUGUGGCAAGUUUUUUAGGUGUGGGGUGAGCUCGCGGGCUAUCGGAGUGUUGGUGGGGUAAUGGACUCCCAAGGCGUCGGAGGGUAACCGGCCCGAGCGGGUGUACGACCAGACUGGGUCUGAGAGACGGCCGAGACACCUACGGGAGGGAGGCGGGGGGAAGAAUGUACAAGGAGCGCAAGACAGAUUCAGGGAGGACGGGUGGGGGAGGACGGACUGCGGGUGGUAAGCGAACUUCGCUAGGGACGAAGCAUUAUGUGACGGUACCUAGAGAAGAAGCACCGGCUAACUACGUG